GAUGAACGCUGGCGGCGUGCCUAAUACAUGCAAGUCGAGCGAACAGACGAGGAGCUUGCUCCUCUGACGUUAGCGGCGGACGGGUGAGUAACACGUGGAUAACCUACCUAUAAGACUGGGAUAACUUCGGGAAACCGGAGCUAAUACCGGAUAAUAUAUUGAACCGCAUGGUUCAAUAGUGAAAGACGGUUUUGCUGUCACUUAUAGAUGGAUCCGCGCCGCAUUAGCUAGUUGGUAAGGUAACGGCUUACCAAGGCAACGAUGCGUAGCCGACCUGAGAGGGUGAUCGGCCACACUGGAACUGAGACAAGGGCCAGACUCCUACGGGAGGCAGCAGGAGGGAAUCUUGCGCAAUGGGCGAAAGCCUGACGGAGCAACGCCGCGUGAGUGAAGAAGGUCUUCGGAUCGUAAAACUCUGUUAUUAGGGAAGAACAAUAGGGUAAGUAACUAUGCACGUCUUGACGGUACCUAAUCAGAAAGCCACGGCUAACUACGUG
rnacentral:rRNA from 1 species